UACAGAGGGUGCUAGCGUUAAUCGGAUUUACUGGGCGUAAAGCGUGUGUAGGCGGUUCGUUAAGUCGGAUGUGAAAGCCCUGGGCUCAACCUAGGAAUUGCAUUCGAUACUGGCGGGCCAGAGUACGGUAGAGGGCGGCGGAAUUCCGGGUGUAGCGGUGAAAUGCGUAGAUAUCGGGAGGAACACCAGUGGCGAAGGCGGCUUCCUGGCCUGUUCUUGACGCUGAGGCGCGAAGGCCAGGGGAGCAAACGGG
rnacentral:rRNA from 1 species